ensembl:lncRNA
AUGAGAGGUAAUUCCUUUUGUGCUGAGGUGGAUAAAAUCUCACUGCACAUAGCCUACUACUUCAGUGCCCUCAAGAAUUCUGUGGUGUACGAACCUCCUCUCCAAGAAAAGAAAAUGCAGAGAAGACUCACCAUUCGGCAGGCCUUGGAAAUGAUCCUGAGUGAAGUAAACCCUUGUGACUCAGAUGGAGAAGACAUAGAACUUCAGCCGGAUUCGGACUCAGAUCUGUCUGAUCUGUCUUCAGAUGAGGAGACUGCUCCUCAACCAAAAAAGAGAGCCCGUUUGGGGACUGACCUGACAGAGACAGCGAAAGAUGGCACAGUGUGGCGUGAAGAACAGGUGGGGACGCGUCUCCCUUUCACCCCAAUCAAAGCGUACGCUGCAGAUGGAGAGCCAACGGCUAAGGCCAGGAAAAGUAUCUCGAGUCGCCUUCAGAGCUUCCUGUGUUUCAUCACUCUUGACAUGCUUCAUAGCAUUCAAGAAUGGACUAUUCAACAUGCACAGGAAACGGAGCAUGUUCAUUGGUUCAUGGCCCUCCCUGAACUAAUGGCAUUUAUUGCAAUUGUCAUCUUGCGGGGGCGUACCAAGGUUCCAUCACUACGUGACUGCUGGUCAGCAAACCUGGGAAACCCACAUAUCAUUGGAACAAUGCCGCGAAACCGCUUCCAAGACAUCAUGCGACACCUACGCUUUGAUGACAGGUCCACCCGGAGUGAUCGAGCAAAGACUGAUAAGUUUGCUGCAAUUUCCAGUGUGUGGGGAUCAUUUGUCACCAAUUGCAUCACGUCCUACAACCCUGGUCUACAUAUCACCGAGACACACAGAUCGCAAUGAAUUCACCACUCAGGUAUGUUGCAGGUCUUUUGUGGUUCUAUGUUUAUGUGUUUCUAAUUUUUAGAAUCAACACCGCCAAGUGUGUCAUUGUGUCAUUGUGUGUAAAAGUGCUAUGAAAAUAACAAUUUAUCUUAUUUAUUAGGUGUUUUCAACCACUGCUGCUACGCUGACGGCGUAUGCGCCCAAACGGAAGAAGACCGUCUACAUUCUUAGCAGCAUGCACAGCGUGAUUCAGACUGAUAAUACCACCAAAAGGAAGCCAAACACUGUCACCCUUUACAACACCACAAAGUGCGGCGUGGAUGUGAUGGACCAGAUGGUGCGGGAGUACACUGUCCGCACAGGGACACGGCGCUGGCCAGUUGCCGUGUUCUAUAACAUGAUUGACAUGGCAGCACUGAAUGCACAUGUGCUGUAUCAAGCAUGCACCGGAAGGCAGGAAAGACGGGUGGACUUCCUGGUGGAGCUUGCAAGAGAGUUGGCUAACUCUCAUAUGUGUGCGAAGAAGGCAAGAAAAGAACAAUUGCUUCGGACACAACCCUCCACACCUAGCCCUGGAAAAAGAGCCAUGUGUCAGGUCAAACACCAAUGCAAGAACAAUCAUGCCACUGUGCGAUGUGUUCACUGCUACAGAUACACAUGUGGUAAAUGCAGACGGGAGAUACCAUGGCAGUGCCAGGAUUGUGAGUGAUUGCUGGAAUGCACUCACUUUUUAAUAUUAUUUGUAAAUAUGUGUACAAAUGGUUGGUUUCUUUAUUUUAUUUUGUACUAUUUUAUCAAAAAAUCUCAGCAACAAAGGAAAAAAAAACAUGUGUGUUGAUUUCUCCCUAAGAUGGCAAAGUGAAACACAAGUUUCCUUGAAGUGGCUCAGCAUGGCCCCACAUUGUUUACAUAACAAAAGCAACUGUUCACAGCUGAUUAAGGAUAUUAGCCUAAAGCCUUCCAGCCCAUCGGCUGUCCUGCGGGUUUUAUAGGUAGAAAAGCCAAAUGGCUGCUCUCUGGGACUUCUAGUGUUAACUCUUGCAACAAAUCCCUUCUUUGAGCCCAUCAUUGCUUUAGCUCCGUCGGUGCAUAUGCUGAUGCAGUUCUCCCAACUAAGUCCUUUUGAUGUCAUGAAUCGAUUGAUUACGUCAAAAAUCUCAGCUCCUGUUGUUCUUUCUGGCAGGAUAAAGCAACCCAAAACGUCUUCAUUAAUUUUGUUCUCCCAAACAUAGCAAAUAAAAACCAGCAGUAGGGCUUGACUUGCCA